rnacentral:snRNA from 1 species
GUCGCUUCUCGGCCUUUUGGCUAAGAUCAAAGUGUAGUAUCUGUUCUUAAGUUUUAACAUGUUCGGAACAGUAUAAGUUUCUGUCAAGAACAAUUAAUCCUGUGAUUUUUACCGAUUUUUU